rnacentral:lncRNA from 1 species
CCCAUGAAGAGGAUGCAGCCCAUUUGGAGAAAAGGAGGAGGAGAAAGAGUGUUGAACAUGGGAAGAUUUUUUCCUCAGCCUUCUCACUUCUUCAAACUGACCAUGAUCUCCACCCCUUUUCUGAUGCUGCUACAAGAGAAAAUGAAUCAUGCAUCUCCUGAGAAAAAGUAGGUGCCAGUAAAGGAGCUUAGAACGCCCACUUUUUAGGAGAGAAACUCAUUUUUAAAGUCCUCCAGGGGAUGGAAGCAGGAAAAGCGCUAGCUCUGAAUGUGACACGUGGUGGUGGGGGUUUGGGGCAAUGAAAUAAACAGAUGAGUGAAGGCUACAAAUGACACCACUGUGAAAUCAAAAUGUAAAAAGUGAGCCAAAGUAGGAAAAACAAGCGGUGGGUAUGAUACAAUAUCCCAUGAUUCUAUUCUCAAAAGAAUCUGAAACUUUGAGCAUUAACCCGGGAGAGGAUGAAUACAAAUAAAGUUGGGAGUUUUUUUUUUGUUAUUCUUUUAACUAACUAUUGCGUUCAUUUUAUUAUUGCCCUGAUUUGAAAUAAAAACAUGGCCAUGGAGCUGCAGUACCGCGGCUGUGGUCGCUGGAAAUCACUGUCUACCCGGGGUCUGGCUGAGCUAGCAUACGCCAACUGCGGCUGAGGGCUCUCUGUUAGCAGGGCAGCAAACCCCUGGCCACGGCUGCGCUUGCAAUGGCUAUUGCAGCAACUGCGGUCAGGGGCUCUCUGUUUUCUGGCCAGUGAACCCCCGCCCAGCCAGCAUAGCGACCCUUGCUGCCCAGGGCCUGACAGCCUGGGCAGUGUUGUAUGCUAGCUCAGCCGGACACUGGAUGGCAACGCUUGCUUGCUCUGCCAGACCUCAAGUAGCCAGUGGCUGCGGUACUUUAGCUUCAAGACUAUGAUGUUUUUGUUAAAAAUAAAGACAAUAAAAAAAAGAACGCAACGGUUAGUUAGUUAGUUAGUUAUCCCCCCUCGGGUUAAUGUUCAAAGUUUCAAGCAGCGCCAGUAGCUUGAAACUCAAUGAAACUUUAAAAAA